rnacentral:lncRNA from 1 species
CUAACACAGACACCCUCGGAAGAUCAUCUAGGAACUAAACGGAGGUGUUUGGGCAACGCGCCAUGGUUACUUAAACCUUGACUAGUUCUUUCAACCCAUUAGUGAUGUUUCAAGUAAAAAUGAAAUACUCGGGGAGCGUGAUGAGCUUUAGGAACACCUCUAGGUCCUUCAAAUGCAAACGUCAUCUCCAGUAUUCAGUCAGAAUCCAGCACCGCCUGGCUCUAGCCCCACCCUUCCAGUCUUCAAAGGUAACUGCCUCCUUCCAUAACUGCAACAGCCGCCUCAAAGCCCCAGCGCUAAAGGCUUCCUGGGACCCUCUAUUCUGUCUCGUAGCGGAAUCAAAAGGGCGACAGGGUUGCUACGGCUUAACGGGCAUUUGCGUACGUGUAAGCUCUUCCUAGUUGUGGCCAAAGCCAUGUGCCUGGCUGCACCCGGGAGUGAGACAGGCAUUCCUCCUUCGGGAAAGACGAGGGCCGGGAGGGUCUGCGCUUCAGACGCCCACGCUAUACACGUCUUCCCGUGCUCUGGGUUACAGAAACCAGCGCGCUGUGUCGCGCAAAAAUAAGUGAGAUCCGAUCAAGAGGGCAAGCUGAGGGGCGCAAGGAGAAACAUCAGCCCCGGAGAGGGCAGUGCGUGGGGCGGCGAACAGCUCUCGGGGACCAACAAAGGGCCGGUGCCAUCGGAAGUGAUGCGAAGGAAGGUUGCAGCGGAGACAAUUUGGACUUUGUACCGGGAAAAAACGCAGCCAAGAACAAAAAUGUGAAGCGCCAUAACAUUAGCCGCAAGACUUCAGACAACGCGAGAAUUGUGACUUGAGAUCGGCUUUUCCUCCCCCACCGCUGCAGCCCGCCCAUUCCUGUGA